GGAGAGGACUGGAGGACAGAAGGAGACUGAACUACAGGAGAGGACUGGAGGACAGAAGGAGACUGAACUACAGGAGAGGACUGGAGGACAGAAGGAGACUGGACUACAGGAGAGGACUGGAGGACAGGAGAGGACUGGACUACAGACUGGGCUGGAGAGGACUGGACUACAGACUGGGCUGGAGAGGACUGGACUACAGACUGGGCUGGAGAGGACUGGACUACAGACUGGGCUGGAGAGGACUGGACUACAGACUGAGCUACAGGGGCUGACUGGACAGGGGCUGACUGGACAGGGGCUGACUGGACAGGGGCUGACUGGACAGGGGCUGACUGGACAGGGGCUGACUGGACAGGGGCUGACUGGAGUGGAGCAGGCUGUACUACUGACUGGAGUGGAGCAGGCGACUGAGCUACAGGUGACUGGACGAGAGCAGGUGACUGAACUACAGGGGAGUGAACUGGCUGGACCGGGAGAUGAACAGCAGGUGAGUGGACUGACUGGGCUAGAAGCUGAACAGCAGGUGAGUGGACUGACUGGGCUAGAAGCUGAACAGCAGGUGAGUGGACUGACUGGGCUGGAAGCUGAACAGCCGGUGAGUGAACUGACUGGAGUGGGGAUGCUAAGGGAUGAAUAGAGGUGGGUGAGGCUGACGACGGAGCUGUGGUUGGUGUGGCUGGUGGCUGAGCUAUAGACUGUGCUAGUGAGGGAGAUAAAGCUAUAGCCUGGGCUAGUAACGCUGGUGCCUGAGCAGGAGAAACCUCAGCUAGCUUAACCAGUGAUAAUGC
ensembl:lncRNA